rnacentral:rRNA from 1 species
AUUGACCGCUGGCGGCAGGCCUACCACAUGCAAGUCGAGCGAGCGGCGGCCGGGUGAGUAAUGUAUGGGAAUCUGCCCGAUAGAGGGGGAUAAAUACUGGAAACGGUUGCUAAUACCGCAUACUAUCCGAUGAACCCAUAUGGGAUUCGCUAGUAGGUGGGGUAAAGGCUCACCUAGGCGACGCUCUCUAGCUGGUCUGAGAGGAUGAUAAGGCACACUGGGACGUAGACACGGCCCAGACUGCUACGGGAGUGAGCAGUGGGGAAUAGUGCACAAUGGGCGCAAGCCUGAUGCAGCCAUGCCGCGUGUAUGAAGAAGGCCUUAGGGUUGUAAAGUACUUUCAGCGGGGAGGCGUUACCCGCAGAAGAAGCAACGGCUAACUCCGUGCCAGCAGCCGCGGUAAUUC